AGAUUACCUGAAAACAAGAAUACAAUCAACUAGGGAAAAAUGGGGAUGCUGGUUGUUCACAUAAAGACACUCAAGCUCACACUGCAAGUUGUAGGCCCUUCUCUCUCUCCAGGAAUUUACCUAAUUCUCUAACCUCCUAAGGGUUACCUAAUUCUCUAAUGGUCUCCUAAUUCUCUAACCUUAGCCCAGAGGCACACAUACUCAUUGAGUGGAAAUAGGACCACUGUGCAGAUAACACAAGAAUCCCUGGACAGAAGGAAAGGGCCAGAACUCAGUGCACUUCCUGACCUAUGACAAUUAGUGAUACUUUGGAAAGUGGGAGAUAAGACAUUAAAUCUAUUCCAAAUGCAACUGCAUGAAAUGCAACAUCAGACCCUUCAUCAGAGUCACUUGGAAAGCAUCAGCCCUACCAUGGUAGUGUGAGACCAAUCAUUUAGUUAACAUUAAAGAAAGCAAAUAAAGCCCAUAGUAUAUAUCUUGAUGUAUCUUACCUUAGCUUUUAAUCUUUUACUUCAUUAGACUUGGAAGAAGUGGAAUCCCAUGAAAAAUAAAUUUCUGCAAGGAUGAAGAUUUUUCUUCAAAGGGAGUUUGAAAGAUUAUGAUUAUGUCACUUACUGAAAAGUGAUACAACUGAAGCAGCACACAAGUACUGAAUAUGUUUACUCACUCUAAGUCAUUGUAAGAGGACAUUUUGUAUUUGUUUCACAGUGGAAACAAAGCCAGAUGAAUUAAACCUCAAAAAAGCACUGUAAAUAAAACCCCUUCUCACAA